rnacentral:rRNA from 1 species
UACGAGAGGCCUAAACGUUAUUCGGAAUUACUGGGCUUAAAGAGUCCGUAGGCGGCGCAGAAAGUAGGGUGUGAAAGCCCUCGGCUUAACCGAGGAAUUGCGCUCUAAACUACUGUGCUUGAGGAACCUAGAGGUGAGCGGAACUGAUGGUGGAGCGGUGAAAUGCGUUGAUAUCAUCAGGAACACCGGAGGCGAAGGGCGGCUCACUG